UACGUAGGGCGCAAGCGUUAUCCGGAAUUAUUGGGCGUAAAGAGCUCGUAGGCGGCUUGGCAAGUCGGAUGUGAAAACUCCAGGCUCAACCUGGAGCCGCCAUUCGAUACUGCUAUGGCUAGAGUCCGGUAGGGGAGUGUGGAAUUCCCGGUGUAGCGGUGAAAUGCGCAGAUAUCGGGAGGAACACCGAUGGCGAAGGCAGCACUCUGGGCCGGUACUGACGCUGAGGAGCGAAAGCGUGGGGAGCGAACAGG
rnacentral:rRNA from 1 species